rnacentral:rRNA from 1 species
CUCAGACGAACGCUGGCGGCGUGCUUAACACAUGCAAGUCGAACGGAAAGGCCCUGCUUGCAGGGUACUCGAGUGGCGAACGGGUGAGUAACACGUGGGUGAUCUGCCCUGCACUUCGGGAUAAGCCUGGGAAACUGGGUCUAAUACCGGAUAGGACCAUCGUUUAGUGUCGGUGGUGGAAAGUUUUUCGGUGCAGGAUGAGCCCGCGGCCUAUCAGCUUGUUGGUGGGGUAAUGGCCUACCAAGGCGUCGACGGGUAGCCGGCCUGAGAGGGUGGACGGCCACAUUGGGACUGAGACACGGCCCAGACUCCUACGGGAGGCAGCAGUGGGGAAUAUUGCACAAUGGGCGCAAGCCUGAUGCAGCGACGCCGCGUGGGGGAUGAAGGCCUUCGGGUUGUAAACUCCUUUCAGCCAUGACGAAGCUGGCCUUGUUGGGUCAGUGACGGUAGUGGUAGAAGAAGCACCGGCUAACUACGUGCCAGCAGCCGCGGUAAUACGUAGGGUGCGAGCGUUGUCCGGAAUUACUGGGCGUAAAGAGCUCGUAGGUGGUUUGUCGCGUCGUCUGUGAAAUUCCGGGGCUUAACUCCGGGCGUGCAGGCGAUACGGGCAUAACUUGAGUACUGUAGGGGAGACUGGAAUUCCUGGUGUAGCGGUGAAAUGCGCAGAUAUCAGGAGGAACACCGAUGGCGAAGGCAGGUCUCUGGCAGUUACUGACGCUGAGGAGCGAAACAUGGGUAAGCGAACAGGAUU